rnacentral:lncRNA from 1 species
CCUUGCCCUGGGGGGCUGUGGUGUGGCCGCGCGGGCAUGACCCAGAUCGCUGAUGCUCUGCUCUGUGAGGGAAGAUAUGUCUGUGUGGGCGGCAGUGUGAGCCCCCGCCCUGGCGAUGGCAUUAUGGGAUACCUGUGUCCUCCAGGGCACAGCUGCCCAGCUGGCUCAGCAUUGGAGGUGCCCUGUGAGGCGGGCACGUACAGCUCCAGCUCGGGCGCUGCCAACUGCAGCCUGUGCCCGGCUGGCACCAUGUGCCCCUCCGAUGGCAUGCAGGAGCCGGCCCUGUGCCCGCUGGGUCAUUUCUGCCCCGUGGGCACGGCCUUGCCCCUGCCCUGCCCCACAGGCACUCUGGGGCAGAUGGCGGGUGCCCCAUCCCAGGCCUCCUGCUCCCCCUGCCCCACUGGACACUACUGUAACUCCCCAGGAGCCUCUCAGCCUCAAGGCCGAUGUGAGCAGGGGUACUUCUGCCAGGGUGGGGCCAGCAGUCUUGCCCCCCAGCCCUCCGCUGAGCUGCCCCAGAACGGACCCUGCCCAACUGGGCACUACUGCCCCCCUGGCACCCUCUCGCCACUACCCUGCCCAACAGGCACCGUCCGCAACCUCACCGGGGGCGUGUCCAUAGAGAGCUGCUUCUCCUGCCCCGGGGGGUAUUACUGUGACGGGGAGGGGCUGGACACCCCCAGCGGACCCUGUGACGCCGGGUUCUACUGCCCCUCGGACUCCUCCUCCACCACCCCCCACACAUUUAUGUGCACCAAGGUCAGCAGUACCCCAUCUGUCACUCUCUCUCUUCUCCUCCAUCCAUCCAUCAUCCGCUCAUCUCCUCUCUUUUCCUCUCUGCGUUUCCUGU